UACGGAGGGUGCGAGCGUUGUCCGGAAUCAUUGGGCGUAAAGGGCGCGUAGGUGGCCCGGUCAGCGUGCGGUGAAAGCUCGGGGCUCAACCCCGAGUCGGCCGUGCGAACUGCUGGGCUUGAGCACUGUAGAGGCAGGCGGAAUUCCGGGUGUAGCGGUGGAAUGCGUAGAGAUCCGGAAGAACACCGGUGGCGAAGGCGGCCUGCUGGGCCAGUGGCUGGACACUGAGGCGCGACAGCGUGGGGAGCAAACAGGGA
rnacentral:rRNA from 1 species